rnacentral:rRNA from 1 species
GAUAUGGCUCAGGAUGAACGCUAGCUACAGGCUUAACACAUGCAAGUCGAGGGGCAGCAGAUCGAAAGCUUGCUUUGAUGCUGGCGACCGGCGCACGGGUGAGUAACGCGUAUCCAACCUUCCCUAUAGUAGAGGAUAGCCCGGCGAAAGUCGGAUUAAUACUCUAUGUUUUCCAAUGCAGACAUCUAAGUUGGAACAAAGGUUCACCGCUAUAGGAUGGGGAUGCGUCUGAUUAGGUUGUUGGCGGGGUAACGGCCCACCAAGCCUACGAUCAGUAGGGGUUCUGAGAGGAAGGUCCCCCACAUUGGAACUGAGACACGGUCCAAACUCCUACGGGAGGCAGCAGUGAGGAAUAUUGGUCAAUGGGCGAGAGCCUGAACCAGCCCAAGUAGCGUGCAGGAUGACGGCCCUAUGGGUUGUAAACUGCUUUUAUACGGGGAUAAAGUGAGGGACGUGUCCCUUUUUGUAGGUACCGUAUGAAUAAGGACCGACUAAUUCCGUGCCAGCCGCCGC